UCCACCCGGCACAGCCAGAAGCGGACUGGCCACCCCUCAUAGCCUGGUUCCUCUCUAGGUUUCUUCCUAGGUCUUUGGCCUUUCUAGGGAGUUUUUCCUAGGGAGUUUUUCCUAGCCACCGUGCUUCUUUCACAUGCAUUGCUUGCUGUUUGGGGUUUUAGGCUGGGUUUCUGUACAGCACUUUGAGAUAUCAGCUGAUGUACGAAGGGCUAUAUAAAUAAAUUUGAUUUGAUUUUGAUUUGAUUUGAAUGAAAAGGGCCAGCACUGACCUAGUUGUCUCAGUGACCUCCCCCAUGUGGGUGAACCUCCUGGCAGCAUGAUCAUGGGAUUUAUCCUCUCCUCUCUAGCCGCUUCGAGUCAUCCUUUAUGUUUUCACCUCCACAACUGUGUUGUCAUUCUAGGUGUCAAGAACAGAAGACAAGGCACAAGUCCACUCCCAGCCCCUCCCAGUGCCUCCUGGGGCCUCAGACCAGUACAGCCAGCUGAUAGAGGUCCUCACACAGCAACAACAGGUUACUGGGAGUGGACUUGUGCCUUGUCUUCCUUUAUUGGAAGUGUUAUAGUAACCUGUUGUUGCUGUGUGAGGAGAGGAUAAAUACCAGGAUCAUGCUGCCAGGAGGCUCCUUCUUACUGGCAGGACAAGUCAUGUGACUGAGGCUGGCGUCUGUCUCUGUCUGUUGUUUGAGUGGUUCGUCUGGGGGAGGAGAUGGAAACAACCAGUCCGCCUCAGGAGAGAGAGAGAAUUAAUAAGCGACUUCCUCUCUCUCCCUCAUUAGCCCUCUUCAUUAGCCUACUCCCAUUAUAGAGCUCAAGCCCUCAGAUAAAGAAUGACAGGGGGAAGAAAAAUGAAAUGAGAGGGAGACUGACCUUUUUUGUUUGAAGUUCUCUCCCAAGCUGUUAUUAAUGACCAGACUACUGUCUGUACUAGCUAUCUUUAAAGCUUCAAUGGAAUAUAUUAACUACAUAUGGGGGUAUUAUGCACUAAAAUAAUGACAGUGGUGUUACUGGGAAGAGAGCAGUAAUCGAUGGAGUAGUAGUAUGAGAUCCAGCACUACUGCCAGUUCCCAUUGUGGUGUAAUGAUAAGGACUCACCAGGAGGGAGCGGUAUGGAGCUGAUGUCCACACACUCCUCUCAGAUGCCUCUUCAACCAUCACCUCUAAUUUCUGAGAGAAGAAGAAAGGGAGGAGAGAGACAGAGAGAGAGAGAGAGAGAGAGAGAGAGAGAGAGAGAGAGACAAGCAAGCAAACAAACCAUUAACUUGACUUAUGACCCUCAUUAUUGACUAUUUUAUAUUGCAUGCUGCUGAGGCCAUCUAUCAGACUGACUGUUGUGUACUCACACACACAUACACACAAAAGCUUCUGCUAAAUGGCAUAUACACACACACACAUUAUCUUGAGGAGAGUUAUGAGGGACGUCUGCCCUCGAUGACCGGGCAUAUAUACUGAAUAUACUGUACGGCUGUACUGCUGUGACCCAGAUCCCUGGUUGGUUGGUGGGCAUAGGGAAGGACGUCAGUAAAGAUGCCCAUCUCGGUUUGGCUCCACUGUGCAGGGCAGUGUUUGCCAAGUGGCUGGUUGGUAGCACGCUGGUGGCAUCUUGCCUGUGUGUCAUGUUUGGGCAUGUGGUGUGUGACCCACCUUAGUCAGGUGAGAGUGAAUGAGUGGUGUGUGUGGUACCUUUGCUGUCCGAUAGUAACGUCUGGCUAGCUCCAUGUCUCCUGCCCGCUUGGCCUGGACUGCUGCCACUCUGUACUCUCUGUCUGCUCAGGACCAAGCCCUGAGGAUCUGGAUGAACACACACAUCCAUAUCACCACCACUGUAUACUGUAGUAGCAUUUGGAAGAGCAUCCAUCCCUGAUCCACAGUCAAGUAACAUACAGUGGCUUCCAAUAUUUUCUCCGUUAUAUAAUUCAUCAUCUCCUCAUUAACACUAAGAGGAAACUAUCAUUCCAUGACUUUAAGCAGUAGGAGUGUCUUCACACCCCACAAACCACACUUCCAGUCAGGGUCCUGUCCUAUAACACACAGUGAGCCCAGGCUGGGAUCAAUAGCUAAUUCACUCUCAGUCUGUGGAGACGAAGGGGACCCACACACAGUGAUCAAUCACAGCAGACUGAGAGGGCAGAUCAUGUUGUGAAAGCCACGCCUAUAAAUCUCAUUAAGAGAAGACCACGGUUUAAUAUGAUUGAUCAUAAAAAACUGACUGUCAGGUUUGGAGAUGCAGUAAAAACUCAGGUUUGGGUUGUGGUUGGGUGGAGCAGAGAGAUGCUGGUGCCAAGUGUGUGUCUAUUUCUAACGCGGGAGUCAGAGAGUUAGGUUUGUGUGUGUGUCUGUCAGACUGUCUGUCUGACAGUGUGUCUGUUCCGAGUCCCGAGUCCCACUCUGUCAUCUACACAGUAUUUAGUUAGUUGACAAUAUGCACUCUUGUACAUGAAUGACUGAGCUCUGAUUGGCUGGGUGUGUCGGAGGGGGUUGGCUCAACACCCUGCGAUGCAUUGUCAUUGGUUGAGGUAGUAGAUGGAGGCGGGUGAUAACCCUGCUCCUCACCAGUGACUUCUGUCUUGAGUGACAGCGUUGCUGUGGCCUGUGGCUACAUGUGGUGGGAUUACCUCCUUAUUGAUUAAUUUGUCCCAUUUUAUGGUCGCAAACAUGGACCGCAGGGUCUAAAAGCCAAUAAAAGAUUGAAGGGUUUAUAAAGAAUGAAUUAAAAAUGUAAAUGUGCACCAUUCACAAUAUUAAAAACAUAUUCAUUCAGUUAAAUGGAUUAUGUUGAAUUAUGGCCAUUCAAUUCACAUCAUGCGAUUUGUUUUUAUUGAUUUAUUUGUAAAAAAAAAUCAUAAUAAUAUUAUGCAAAAAAGAAACCACAAGAUUCAACCAUUCAGAGGUAAUGUGUGUAGUUCUGAUAUGCCUUCCCCGUAGCUCAGUUGGUAGAGCAUGGUGUUUGCAACACCAGGGUUGUGGGUUUGAUUCCCACGGGGGGCCAAGUACGAAAAAAAUGUAUGAAAUGAAAAAAAUGAAUUGUAUGCAUUCACUACUGUAAGUUGCUCUGGAUAAGAGCGUCUGCUAAAUGACUAAAAUGUAAAUGUAAUUCAAUUACAUUCUUUUUCAUUUGUCCCAGAAAGACUCAACUUAAAAUGCCAGUUUAUGGCAAUGCCCAUACAUAUUUCUGAUGAUCUAUAUACAGUAUCUAUCUAUUCAUUCCACCCUCUUCACCUUGUCCGAUCUUAUGAACAUGUGCUCUCUACUGCUUUGCCCUAACCCAUCCUCCAAGGUAACAACCUGUGUUCUCUAUUCCUCUGCCCUAACCCAUCCUCCAAGGUAACAACCUGUGUUCUCUACUCCUCUGCCCUAACCCAUCCUCCAAGGUAACAACCUGUGUUUUCUACUGCUCUGCCCUAACCCAUCCUCCAAGGUAACAACCUGUGUUUUCUACUGCUCUGCCCUAACCCAUCCUCCAAGGUAACAACCUGUGUUUUCUACUGCUCUGCCCUAACCCAUCCUCCAAGGUAACAACCUGUGUUUUCUACUGCUCUGCCCUAACCCAUCCUCCAAGGUAACAACCUGUGUUUUCUACUGCUCUGCCCUAACCCAUCCUCCAAGGUAACAACCUGUGUUCUCUACUGCUCUGCCCUAACCCAUCCUCCAAGGUAUCAAGGAGGGUGUCAAGAUACAUGUCAAUCAUCUCAAUGAGGAGGGUCUCCAAAGGAGACGAGACAAUAGGAGACAGAGGCCAUGAGAGCACAUUGGAUUGGUCGUCAAAGUUGCAAGAUCCCACAGUUCCUCUCCUCCCUCCUCCUCUUCCUCUUCACUGGAAUCCUGCAUAUACAACAGGGCCUGUUCAUACUCUUGUCAUACAACGGUGGCCUUAGAGUGCACGUUGAGCCACGGACCUAGGUUGAGAGGAGACACCACCGAUACUCAAUGGCAUUUUCUUGAUCACACAGGCCUGCAUUUGACUGAUUUGAUAUUUGAGAGUCUCAUAGCACUUCUUCAAUACUGUGAACAGUAUUAGGUCAUUAGGUCUCACCUGCCUCACCCUCAGCAUUCUUUCACCUGCUGUCUGAACCUCAACAUCGACUACAGGCUCCACCCUCUGCACGUCAACCUGAGAGAUGGAUGGAGGAGGAGAAAGGCUGGAUGGGGAAGAAGAGAAGGGUGUGAUGCUGUUGGAGAAGAAAGGGAUGGAGAGAAGGAUAAGAGAGAAGGAGGGAUAGACGCCUUUUGCCCAUUUGUGAUAUUACAGAGGACUGAAUAUUCUAUGAAAGAUUUUUCAUUAGUGCUCCUAACUUAUUGAGGGUGGCUGUGCUUGUAUGAAACACCUGUUGGACAAGAGCCUCUUCGCUCUACACACAGUCUUAUUUCCAUCAUAAUGACAGAUGGAGGCUGCCUCAUUAUACCCAUUAAAAGAGGCACUACCGUGGGCGAACAGCUGAGUCGAUGCUGGGUUAGAGUACAUGAAAGUUCCAUAAUCACAGGGUCAAUAUUAUUCAUUCAUCCACUAAGGGUUAAGGUUGGGAUUUGGGGACCCCUCUAAAAAAGGUAGUCAGACACCAAGACUGGAGACCGCUGUGUAAUAGGGUGAGCUGGUGUAAAUGCAUCUGAGGGGGUGUAGUACACAAAUGUAGGAGCUGGAUUUGGUGGGUAGAAAACUGCACUUAUGAUGACACUGUUAACAAAGGUGUGCUGUUUGGUCUAUACACUAUUAAUGGUGUGUUAGUUACCAGACAGAUUCCCAGGGGAGUGACGCAACAAACUGCUGAGACUGUCUCUCUCUUUGGUAAUUACAUGUAAUUACUCAGUAACUAAUAACUCAUUUCACACAGACUAUAGCCAGUAUCAAUUUACCAAAACUGAUCUUAUCAGCAUCAUCCUACUCAUGUUAGCCUAUCAGCAUCAUCCUACUCAUGUUAGCCUAUCAGCAUCAUCCUACUCAUGUUAGCCUAUCAGCAUCAUCCCACUCAUGUUAGCAUAAGCAUCAUCAUACUUAUGUUAGCCUAUCAGCAUCAUCCUACUCAUGUUAGCCUAUCAGCAUCAUCCUACUCAUGUUAGCCUAUCAGCAUCAUCCUACUCAUGUUAGCCUAUCAGCAUCAUUCUACUCAUGUUAGCCUAUCAGCAUCAUCCUACUCAUGUUAGCCUAUCAGCAUCAUCAUACUCAUGUUAGCCUAUCAGCAUCAUCCUACUCAUGUUAGCCUAUCAGCAUCAUCCUACUCAUGUUAGCCUAUCAGCAUCAUCCUACUCAUGUUAGCCUAUCAGCAUCAUCCUACUCAUGUUAGCCUAUCAGCAUCAUUCUACUCAUGUUAGCCUAUCAGCAUCAUCCUACUCAUGUUAGCCUAUCAGCAUCAUCCUACUCAUGUUAGCCUAGCUUACCUUUCUGUCUCCUCCAGAACCCUGUGUCUGAGGAGGAGGGUCCUCCCUGCUGCCACUCAUGGUCGACCAAUCAGAGUCAGAUCAGAAUGUGCAGUGCCUGUAAACAAAACAUGAUGUCAGAUAUGUGGUUAUUCCUAAACUCAUUCCCAGACACUUCUGCCCAAAGUUGUUUGAAACAUUUCAUGAAAUGGUGGAGCAAUUAAUGACUUUCUCUGGAAAAAAAAUGACUAUCUCUCUUUCUCUGACUCUUUGACAAUUUAUGAGUCCUUCAUAGACAGCAUACUGUAAAUGUUUUGCAUUGUAAAUGGCCCCUAUAGACCACUAUAUAAAGGUAAGCCUAUUAAGCCUCGUGCUAGUGUAACCCCAAUCUACUUGAUGUGUAAUUUAACACACCUAGCCAUGUAAGACUAUAUCAGGUAGUUCACCUUUGUCAAACACACCAUGAAUACUUUAUAUUAGGAUAUCUUCAUUAUGUGUCUGUUCUUGUCAGCUGUUUGCACCGAAUACAUUGAUGUGAAAUUCUCAUGUCUGUAAAAAAUCAUAACAUUACCAUGUCGAGGUGAGGGAAAAGGUUAAGGAAAAUUGGAAAAUGACUUCCUCCUUCUCACUGUUUCCAAUGGUAACACGAACAACCAAUCAUAAAGACUUCUGAAGUGAA